CCUACGGGUGGCAGCAGUGAGGAAUAUUGGUCAAUGGCCGGAAGGCUGAACCAGCCAUGCCGCGUGAAGGUCAGUGCCCUAUGGGCGUUAAACUUCUUUUGUGCGGGAGCAAUAAUGGUCACGUGUGGCCAGACGAGAGUACCGGACGAAUAAGCAUCGGCUAACUCAGUGCCAGCAGCAGCGGUAGUACGGGGGUUGCAAGCGUUAUCCGGAUUUGUUGGGUUUAAAGGGUGCGUAGGCUGUUAGGUAAGUCAGCGGUGAAAUGCACCCGGUCAAGGGGGUGAAGUGCCAUGGAUUCUGCCUUGCUGGAAUGCGGAUGCCGUGGGAGGAAUGUGUGGUGUAGCGGUGAAAUGCAUAGAUAUCACACAGAACACCGAUUGCGAAGGCAUCUCACGAAUCCGCGAUUGACGCUGAUGCACGAAAGCGUGGGUAUCAAACAGGAUUAGAUACCCGGGUAGUC
rnacentral:rRNA from 1 species